rnacentral:rRNA from 1 species
UAAUACGAAGGGUGCAAGCGUUGCUCGGAAUUAUUGGGCGUAAAGGGUAGGUAGGUGGUCUUAUUUGUCAUAGGUGAAAUCCUUGGGCUCAACCCGAGACGUGCCUAUGAAACGGUAAGACUAGAGUGAUAGAGGGGUUUGUGGAAUUCCCGGUGUAGCGGUGAAAUGCGUAGAGAUCGGGAGGAACACCAGCGGCGAAGGCGGCAAACUGGAUAUCAACUGACACUCAACUACGAAAGCGUGGGGAUCAAACAGG